rnacentral:rRNA from 1 species
UACGUAGGGGGCAAGCGUUGUCCGGAAUUAUUGGGCGUAAAGAGCGCGUAGGCGGUCCGAUAAGUCGGCUGUGAAGGUCAGGGGCUCAACCCUUGAAAGCCGGCCGAUACUGUCGGACUAGAGUCCGGAAGAGGCAAGUGGAAUUCCUGGUGUAGCGGUGAAAUGCGCAGAUAUCAGGAGGAACACCAAUGGCGAAGGCAGCUCGCUGGGACGUGACUGACGCUGAGACGCGAAAGCUAGGGGAGCGAACGGG